UGCAGUCGAGCGAAGCGCUCAUGCGGAAUUUUUUGGAAGGAAGCGGGAGCGUCUUAGCGGCGGACGGGUGAGUAACGCGUGGGUAACCUGCCCCAUACCGGGGGAUAACGGUUAGAAAUGACCGCUAAUACCGCUUAAGCGCGCGAGGCCGCAUGGCCGCGCGCGAAAAACUCCGGUGGUAUGGGAUGGGCCCGCGUCUGAUUAGGUAGUUGGCGGGGUAAGGGCCCACCAAGCCGACGAUCAGUAGCCGACCUGAGAGGGUGGCCGGCCACAUUGGGACUGAGACACGGCCCAAACUCCUACGGGAGGCAGCAGUGGGGAAUAUUGCGCAAUGGGGGAAACCCUGACGCAGCAACGCCGCGUGAGUGAGGAAGUAUCUCGGUAUGUAAAGCUCUAUCAGCGGGGAAGAAGGAAGACGGUACCCGACUAAGAAGCCCCGGCUAACUACGUGCCAGCAGCCGCGGUAAUACGUAGGGGGCGAGCGUUAUCCGGAUUUACUGGGUGUAAAGGGAGCGUAGACGGCGUCGCAAGUCUGAAGUGAAAGCCCGUGGCUCAACCGCGGAACCGCUUUGGAAACUGCGAGGCUGGAGUGCUGGAGAGGUAAGCGGAAUUCCUGGUGUAGCGGUGAAAUGCGUAGAUAUCAGGAGGAACACCGGUGGCGAAGGCGGCUUACUGGACAGUGACUGACGUUGAGGCUCGAAAGCGUGGGGAGCGAACAGGAUUAGAUACCCUGGUAGUCCACGCGGUAAACGAUGAGUGCUAGGUGUCGGGGGGCAAAGCCC
rnacentral:rRNA from 1 species